GUGCUUGCUUUGGCAGCACAUAUACUAAAAUUGGAACGAUACAGAGAAGAUUAUCAUGGCCCCUGCGCAAGGAUGACACGCAAAUUAGUGAAGCGUUCCAUAUUCUU
rnacentral:snRNA from 1 species